rnacentral:tRNA from 1 species
GGCCGACAUGACGGACCCCGGCACCGUCCGGGCACUGGCGCUGUCGGGGACGGCGCUGCACGUCGGCGGCAGCUUCGACAGCGUCGCCGGCCA